rnacentral:rRNA from 1 species
CAUUGUCGGUUCGAGGCCCUUAACCGUGUAGGGGAUGGAGAAGGGCACGGCAUGCCGAGCUCGCCUCUUUCCCCGCCCCCGAGAUCUCAGCGACGAGCAAAGCUUCAAAGCGCACGCCGUUGGGGUCAAGGGUGAUCGAAUGCCGCGGUCGAAUGUGUUGCAUCCCCGCGGGGGGAGAGACCCGGAUCAAAUGUCGAUUGCAAUCGGUGCCUGCCAACGACGUUUACGUCGGGAGGUAGUGGUCCUGCUCGGUUGCAGCGAGAGGAGAUCCGGGCCCCUGCCCCCGUUGAGGCCGCACGCAUCGCGACUGCGUGCGCGGCGCUGUGCCAGGGAUCCGUCGUUUCGACGGCGGCAAGUCGGGACUGCCGCAACCCCCUGUCGUGUUGAUCGGGCGGCAACUCGUCGCUCGGAGGGUUCUGUGUUCAGGAUGGGAGCACGCGCAUGAUUGCGCGUGGUAGGACCCCCGAUCCGGUGGCACGGCUCUCCCCCGCGGCGAGUUCCAGCUCUGCGAGGCGACGGGGCGGGGACACACCGCGCCGUUCUUCGGUGCACCCGUCGGGUGCCCGGAGCGCGUGCGGGAUGUGUCAACACCCAACACACGGGUGCAUCACGCACCCCGGAAAUCCAAACAUUGAAAAGUGCGAUCGAUCGCCUUGCGCGUUCAGGUCGACGAAAGAGAAAAACAUAACGAAAUCACGACUCUCGGCAACGGAUAUCUCGGCUCUCGCCACGAUGAAGAAUGUAGCGAAAUGCGAUACUUAGUGUGAAUUGCAGAAUCCCGUGAAUCAUCAAGUCUUUGAACGCAAGUUGCGCCCGAGGCCUCGGCCAAGGGCACGUCUGCUUGGGCGUCGCACUCCAAAAUCGCCCUCCCUCGCGAGGAGCGUAGAUGGCCGUCCGUGUCCGCAAGCGGUGGCGGUCGGCUGAAAUGAGCACGAGGUCCGUCGAUCCGUUGCGACGAGCGGUGGCUCUCAAAGGCCGGCGUUGGUUUGUGCGGAUCGAGCGACGCCUCGUGAGGAACUUUACCGUGGGUGCAGCGGGCCUGCCAGAGUGCGGGCGUGCUGCAUCUCUAUCGCGUCC